UUUUAAUCUGUCUGAAAACAGUGACAGUCCGUUGCUGAGUUUUAAGCAGGAGCGUAACUGAUUCGAUAAGCAUUUUAGAAAGAUUAUUCUGGCCAGAUGUGAGGUGAUUGUCUGCAUAGCUGUGAGAGUCAGGAGUUAAAAUUGACAAGACCUCAGGGAUAAGGGAGGUGUCAAGGGCGAGUCCUGUGGUUUCUGGCGAUACCAUUCCCUGGAGUUUCGUGCACUGGAGGAAAUAGUUCGGUAAGUGAGAACUCAAAGAAAAUAAUAAAAAUGGGCAUGUACCUAGGAGUGGAAUUGCUGGAUCAUGUGGUUGUCUUGUGUUUAACUUUCUGAGGAAGUGCCAGACUUCUCCAGAGUGGCUGCACCAUGUUACAUUCCCAUCGGCAAUGGAUGAAGGUUCUGAUUUCUCCAUGACCUGCUCAACACUGUUGUUACUGUUAUUGUUAUUGUCAUCCUAGUGGGUGUGAAGUGAUAUCUUUUGGUUUUGAUUUGCAUUUCCUUCAUGACUCUUGAUAAAUUGAGCAUAUUUUCAUGUGUUUAUUGGCCAUUUGUAUAUCCUCUUUGUCAAGUCAUUUGCUCAUUCUUAAUAUUGGGUUGUUUGCCUUUUUAUUGUUCAGUUGUAAGAGUUUUUUCUAUAUUCUAGAUAAUAGACCUCUAUCGCAUACAUGAUCUGCAAGUACUUCCGUUAUACUAAAAUUUUCUCUUUGGCAAACGUUUUUAACUUUGGGUGUCUUCAUAUUUAAGAAUGAAGCUUGCAGCACACUGCAGAUUUCAUUAAAUGCAGAUUUGAGUGUAGAAUCAGAUGUGAAUGAGAAUCCAGCUUGAGAUAGUGUUGCUCUUCUCACCAAUUUUUUGAAAAUAUGUUUUUAAUUUAAAA
rnacentral:lncRNA from 10 species